UCGCGGAGCUUGUUUUCCUGGCGAGGUCGGCCCUAGCGCCCUGUGUUUGGCCGGCCGCGCGAUCCUGACGCGCCGAAGUUCGGCCGCGCGCCUCUUACAAAUAGAAGUUAUGUGACUGAAGCGGCACAAACAGAUCCUUUUCGACGCUAUAGAGCAGGAAUUUUCAGUUUGGUAAUGGCGACCUCCAAGACAAGCCCACAUGGUACCCAGGUUCAGUCGUAGAAGAUGGUGUAGAAGCAAAUUGACACUUACUGACUUACCUUCUUCCAUCCGGUUUUGGGAAUUUAUCUAAUCUUAAUCUAUUUUAACUUCAAAUCUUCUUGAUGUAUUAUAUAGAAUUCAGUUACAUGCAUGUGUCAGUCUGAUUCUUUCUUUAUAACCACUUUAUUACAUCAUACAAAAGAACUGUAACUACAAAUCACCGUACUAGUAGUGAUGGUGUGGUACUUGGGUAGGACGUCUUCGCCGCAGAAAGAUGACCAUCAUCGUUCAUCACCAUGGUAGACACAAUAAUAAAACUAAAAGUUUAAUUGUUUAUUAGGAGGAAUAUUCUAUCUAAUCCCAGAUGUGGCUGAUAAAAGACUAGCAGAGAAAAAACUUGAAGAAUGUAGGUUGUAGUACCAAUAAGUAGAGCGAGAUACGCAUGUAUUGGAUGGUGUAGGACAAAUGUAAAGUUGACAAGUUAACUAGUUGUGCUGCCAAUUUAACUAAAUAAAAGUGUUAAGUUUGUUAAGAAAGCACAGAACAGUUAGUGCCACAGGAAAUGAUAAGUAGGCCUGUUUUUUUGUGCAAAACUUUGUGUACUUUCUAUGAUACAGGUGAUAAUUACUGAUUAUAAGAAUUAUCGGGAAGUAACACAUCCAAAUUCCAAGAAAUCUAACUAUGUACAUUUACAGAAAAUAGCCUGUGACCUUGAAAAAUGUUUACAUUGUCAUGAUAAAUUCAGUGUUUACAUUGUCUAUCUAUCAUUAUUUUAUCUCUUCUUCUUAUAGCACUAACAUCUGUCAUGUAUUGUGCAAGUGUGAACUUAUGCUAAUGAUGCAGUGUAACAUUGUGCCUCAUCAAAUAAUGCGAGAUGUUCAUGCAAUCUUACCUUUGACCUUGACCAAGUUGACCUUCUUAUUAAAGAAGUUACCAUUGUUGA